UUUUCAUCAGACAAUCUGUGUGAGCACUGCAAAGUACGCUUCUUUAAGGUAAGGAGGUGAUCCAACCGCAGGUUCCCCUACGGUUACCUUGUUACGACUUCACCCCAGUCAUGAAUCACAAAGUGGUAAGCGCCCUCCCGAAGGUUAAGCUACCUACUUCUUUUGCAACCCACUCCCAUGGUGUGACGGGCGGUGUGUACAAGGCCCGGGAACGUAUUCACCGUGGCAUUCUGAUCCACGAUUACUAGCGAUUCCGACUUCAUGGAGUCGAGUUGCAGACUCCAAUCCGGACUACGACGCACUUUAUGAGGUCCGCUUGCUCUCGCGAGGUCGCUUCUCUUUGUAUGCGCCAUUGUAGCACGUGUGUAGCCCUGGUCGUAAGGGCCAUGAUGACUUGACGUCAUCCCCACCUUCCUCCAGUUUAUCACUGGCAGUCUCCUUUGAGUUCCCGGCCGGACCGCUGGCAACAAAGGAUAAGGGUUGCGCUCGUUGCGGGACUUAACCCAACAUUUCACAACACGAGCUGACGACAGCCAUGCAGCACCUGUCUCACGGUUCCCGAAGGCACAUUCUCAUCUCUGAAAACUUCCGUGGAUGUCAAGACCAGGUAAGGUUCUUCGCGUUGCAUCGAAUUAAACCACAUGCUCCACCGCUUGUGCGGGCCCCCGUCAAUUCAUUUGAGUUUUAACCUUGCGGCCGUACUCCCCAGGCGGUCUACUUAACGCGUUAGCUCCGGAAGCCACGCCUCAAGGGCACAACCUCCAAGUAGACAUCGUUUACGGCGUGGACUACCAGGGUAUCUAAUCCUGUUUGCUCCCCACGCUUUCGCACCUGAGCGUCAGUCUUUGUCCAGGGGGCCGCCUUCGCCACCGGUAUUCCUCCAGAUCUCUACGCAUUUCACCGCUACACCUGGAAUUCUACCCCCCUCUACAAGACUCAAGCCUGCCAGUUUCGAAUGCAGUUCCCAGGUUGAGCCCGGGGAUUUCACAUCCGACUUGACAGACCGCCUGCGUGCGCUUUACGCCCAGUAAUUCCGAUUAACGCUUGCACCCUCCGUAUUACCGCGGCUGCUGGCACGGAGUUAGCCGGUGCUUCUUCUGCGGGUAACGUCAAUUGCUGCGGUUAUUAACCACAACACCUUCCUCCCCGCUGAAAGUACUUUACAACCCGAAGGCCUUCUUCAUACACGCGGCAUGGCUGCAUCAGGCUUGCGCCCAUUGUGCAAUAUUCCCCACUGCUGCCUCCCGUAGGAGUCUGGACCGUGUCUCAGUUCCAGUGUGGCUGGUCAUCCUCUCAGACCAGCUAGGGAUCGUCGCCUUGGUGAGCCGUUACCUCACCAACAAGCUAAUCCCAUCUGGGCACAUCUGAUGGCAAGAGGCCCGAAGGUCCCCCUCUUUGGUCUUGCGACGUUAUGCGGUAUUAGCCACCGUUUCCAGUAGUUAUCCCCCUCCAUCAGGCAGUUUCCCAGACAUUACUCNNNNNNNNNNNNNNNNNNNNCCCGUCCGCCACUCGUCAGCAAAGCAGCAAGCUGCUUCCUGUUACCGUUCGACUUGCAUGUGUUAGGCCUGCCGCCAGCGUUCAAUCUGAGCCAUGAUCAAACUCUUCAAUUUAAAAGUUUGAUGCUCAAUGAAUUAAACUUCGUAAUGAAUUACGUGUUCACUCUUGAGACUUGGUAUUCAUUUUUCGUC
rnacentral:rRNA from 1 species